rnacentral:piRNA from 1 species
UGACUGAUGUGCGUGUGUCUGUCUG